rnacentral:tRNA from 2 species
GUCAGGAUGGCCGAGCGGUCCAAGGCGCUGCGUUCAGGUCGCAGUCCGGUCUUCCGGGCGUGGGUUCGAAUCCCAGUUCUGACA